AAGACUAUACUUUCAGGGAUCAUUUCUAUAGUUCUUAACUAGAGAAGUCUCUCUGAUCGUGUAGAGCACCGGAAACCACGAUGAGGAGUUGUAGUAUCCUCUCCUGAGCGUGAAGCUGGCCUCCGGUGUCACUUUCUUGUGAUUGCCGAGUGCCAUUGAUGAUCGUUCUUCUCUUUCUUUUGGAAGAGCAAGAGGGAGAGGAUACAUCCUGAGUGGU